GAUGAACGCUGGCGGCGUGCUUAACACAUGCAAGUCGAGCGAAGCGCUUAAGUUUGAUUCUUCGGAUGAAGACUUUUGUGACUGAGCGGCGGACGGGUGAGUAACGCGUGGGUAACCUGCCUCAUACAGGGGGAUAACAGUUAGAAAUGACUGCUAAUACCGCAUAAGACCACAGGGUCGCAUGACCCGGUGGUAAAAACUCCGGUGGUAUGAGAUGGACCCGCGUCUGAUUAGCUAGUUGGUGGGGUAACGGCCCACCAAGGCGACGAUGGGUAGGGGUUCUGAGAGGAAGGUCCCCCACACUUGGAACUGAGACACGGUCCAA
rnacentral:rRNA from 1 species